rnacentral:rRNA from 1 species
UUUGAUCCUGGCUCAGGACGAACGCUGGCGGCGCGCCUAACACAUGCAAGUCGAGCGAGAACCCGAGGAGGGGUAACCCUUCUCGGGGGAGAGCGGCGAACGGGUGAGUACCACGUGGGCAACCUGCCCCAGACUCUGGGAUAACCCCGGGAAACCGGAGCUAAUACCGGAUACUCUCGGCGGACCGCAUGAUCUGCCGAGGAAAGCUUUCGCGGUCUGGGAUGGGCCCGCGGCCUAUCAGCUUGUUGGUGAGGUAACGGCCCACCAAGGCGACGACGGGUAGCUGGUCUGAGAGGACGGCCAGCCACACUGGGACUGAGACACGGCCCAGACUCCUACGGGAGGCAGCAGUGGGGAAUCUUGCGCAAUGGGCGAAAGCCUGACGCAGCGACGCCGCGUGGGGGAUGAAGGCC